rnacentral:rRNA from 1 species
UACGGAGGGUGCAAGCGUUGUCCGGAAUCACUGGGCGUAAAGGGCGCGUAGGCGGCUCGGUAAGUAGGGGGUGAAAUCCUGCGGCUCAACCGCAGGGCUGCCUUCUAAACUGUCGAGCUCGAGCACGGUAGAGGCAGAUGGAAUUCCCGGUGUAGCGGUGGAAUGCGUAGAGAUCGGGAAGAACAUCAGUGGCGAAGGCGGCAUCCUGGACCAUAACUGACGCUGAGGCGCGAAAGCUAGGGGAGCAAACGGG